ensembl:lncRNA
UUUCUUUCUGCUCCUUUUGGAGUCUUUUUUCUGUGAGCCAGGAACAUAGGAGGGAAUAUGCUGAACAUUAUGAAGUCACCUAUUCCUAAAAUAAAGAAAAAUCUACAGUGCUCUGAAAACUUCACUGGAUCACCUCCCUGAGGACUUCAUGGAUUGCAUUGAUAAGAACGUUAUUUUAUGUUUUCCAUCAGGGGUCUUAACACUUUCUUAAAGGAUAAGCAGCAUAUAAAAUACUACAAAUAUUCAAAGCUGGAAUACUAGAAACCUUUUUAUAAUGGAUUAAUUAUUUCAGCUGAGACAGAUCUUACUCUACAAACAGUCUUGUUGAUUUUAAUAGUUACUUUGAUAUUCAGGCACUGUUUUUAAUGAGAAAUAGGGUAUACUAAUAAGAUCUAGUGAAUUAUGUAAGGUCUUUAAAUUAUAUAAAGUCCUUACCUUAGUUUGUAAAAUUCAUUUUUAAAAUGUCACUAUUCACAUAUGUUUAAUUAAGCAUAUGAGAAAUCUUACCAUCCUCAAAACAUUCUUGGCAUUGAUAAAUAAUCUGAAAAGCUCUUUCACUCUCCUAUCUGCUGUCCUUCUUAUGGUCACAUUAAAUUUAGAGAGUUUCAGAUAUAUAUGGCAGGGCUUAGCAGUACAAAUAAUAGCUCCUUCCUAGGAGAGCACUAAAUCAUUUUGAAAACUAACUGCCACAAGUAUAGUCUAUGCAAGAGAAAAACAGACAACAUAGGAAUGUCUCAUUUAACACUGUUUAGAGCUAGGGUAAAAAAUGUUUUUAAAUUUAAAAAGUAUCAGUAAUAAGAAGAUAUGCAAUUGAUAAAGAACUAUUUGUUCACUUCCCCGCUCCUCCUCAUCACCCACAAUUUUCUUUCUGCCUUAAUUCUGUUGUCUACCAUGGCAAAAAGAGCCAUGGAGAAGGCUAAAGUACUCAACAAGUUCUUUGCCUGAGUCUGAACUAGCAGAUGGGGUUCCUGGUCUCUCAUGUCCCUCCAGGAAGGGGCUGGGAGAACAACAUUCCUUCCACUGUAAGAAAAGAGAAAGUUCAAGGCCACCUGAUGAAACUGAACUUGUACAAGUCUAUGAGGCCAGACAACAGGCAUCUCUGUGUCCUAAGGAAACAGGCUGAUGUACUUGCCAAGACGCUCUCCAUCAUGUUUGGAAGGUCAGUGCUGUCAGAUGUAGUUUCUGGUGACCAGAGAAAGGAACCAGGACAUUUGUUUUUAAGACAUUGAGUAGGGAGGAUGUGAGGAGCUACAGUCCAGUGAUCUUCACUUUUGUGCAUGGGAAGAUCCUCCCAGACACAUGUUAGAAGAGGAUGUGAUCUAAAACAGCCAGCAUGGCUUCAUUGAGAACAGAUCAUAUCUAACAGAUCCGAUGGCCUUCUACAACAGAGUGACUGCACAAACGAAGGGAAACUGAUGUCAUCUGCCUGGACUUCUGCAACGCCUUUGAUAUGGCCCCAUACCACAUCCUUAUCUGUAAAUUGGAGAGAUGUGGAUUUUAAGUGUGAUAUAUUCAAAUGGAUAUAUUGGUUGGAUGGUUGCAGCCAAAGGGUUCUGGUCAGACGUACUAUGUCCAGAUGGAAGCUAGUGACAAGUGGUUUUCCUCUGUCUUGGGACCAGUUCUCUUUAUCAGUGACAGACAGUGGGAUUGAGCUCACCCUCAGCAGGUUUGCUGAUAACAUCAAGCUGACUGGUGCAGUUGAUACAACAGAAGGAAACUAUGCCCUCCAAGGGGACCUGGGCAAGCUUGAAAAGUAGGCCCAAUGAGGUUCAACAAGGCCAAGUGCAAGGUGCUGCACUUGGAUUGGAGCAAUCUCAGACUUGUGAGCAGGCUGGGAGAGGAACGCUUUGAGAGCAUCUCUAUGCAAAAGGAAUUGAGUGUCCUGGUAGAUGAAAAGAUGGACAUAAGCCAGCAGUAUGAGCUUGCAACCUGGACUGAUGAUUUUAUCCUUAGGUGCAUUGAAGGUGAUGAAAGUGAUUGUCCCUUUCUGCCAUUACAAAGACAAAACUGUUGCAUCCAGGGCUGUGGUCCACAACACAGGAAAGAUGUGGAGCUAUUGGAGCAGAGGAAGGCCACAAAGAUGAGCAGAGGGCUGGAGCACCUCGCCUACAAAGACAAGCUGAGGGAGCUGGCCUUGUUUAGCCUGGAGAAGGCUCUGGGACAACCCCAUUGUGGCCUUGUGGUGCUUAAAGGAAGUUCAGUAAUCCAGAGAGUGACUGACUUUUUAUAAAGCCUGAUAGUGAUAGGAAAUGAGGGAAUGGUUUUAAAUUAAAAGAGGAUAGGUUUCAAGUAGAUAUUCAAAAGAAAUUAUUUGCUGUGAGAGUGGUGAGGAACUGGCACAGGUUGCCCAGAGAAGCUGUGAGUGUCUUACCCUUGGAAGUGUUCAAGGCCAGGUUGUAUGAGAUCCUGGGCAUCCUGAUCUGGGGGGUGGCAAGGUCCCUCCCAGCCCAAGCUACUCUAUGAUUUUAUGAAUGCAGUAUGCCAAUAUUUAUACAUUUUCAGCAUAUAAAAUGACACUUCUCUAUUCAGAUUAAAAAUCUUAUCUGCUAGGUGAUCUAUCAUAUUUUGUGGCUGCUGCUCUGUUGUGUAAUAUAGGCUGAGACUGAUGUAUGAU